CCUGAGUUUAAUACGAUAUUAACCAGCAUGUGCGAAAUUUGAGCCAUUAUGGAAGCGCGAUAGAGUCACUGCAAGCAGCCUUAUACAGUAACUGAUCCAGGAUGGUCCAGGUGGUGUUCCUGCACCCUGAUCUGGGUAUAGGAGGUGCGGAGCGGCUGGUGGUGGAUGCUGCUGUGGCGUUGAUGUCUCGUGGCUGCAGCGUCCAGAUCUGGACAGCACACUAUGACCCACAGCACUGCUUCUCAGAGACACUCUCGCCGGACCUACCUGUGGUGUGUGUAGGCGAUUGGUUACCCACCAGUGUAUUUGGGUAUUUCCAUGCUCUCUGCGCCUACCUGCGCAUGAUUUACGUAGCAUUUUAUCUGGUGUUUCUGAGUGGCGAGGAAUUUGAUGUUGUUUUCUGUGAUCAGGUCUCAGCAUGUAUUCCUGUCUUGCGUCUGGCGCGCCACCGGAAGAAGGUCCUUUUCUACUGUCACUUCCCUGACCAGUUACUGACUCAGCGUCGCUCGCUGCUGAAGCGCCUCUACCGUGUGCCCAUCGACCAUCUGGAGGAGCUGACCACAGGCAUGGCCGACCGCAUUGUGGUUAACAGCAAAUUCACUGCUGGCGUGUUCAAACAGACCUUCCCCAACCUGGCUGAGAUCCACACAGACGUCCUGUACCCUUCUCUGAACUUUGCUUCUUUCGAUGUAGAGGUGGAAGAAGACCUUACUGGCCUGGUUCCUGAGGGCCGACGUGUCCUUUUCCUUUCCAUUAACCGCUACGAGAGAAAGAAGAACCUGCUGUUAGCAUUGCAGGCAUUAGCUGCCUUAAGGGACAGUAUUUCCUCAAGGCAGUGGGACCAGGUGCACCUGGUGAUGGCGGGCGGCUAUGAUGAGCGUGUGGAUGAGAAUGUGCAGCACUACGGUGAACUGCGCUCACUAGCGGCCUCUUUAGGCCUGGAGGAGCAUGUCACCUUCUUGCGCUCUUUCUCAGACCGCCAGAAAGUAGCCCUCCUUCAAAGUAGCACCUGCGUGCUGUACACGCCCAGCAAUGAACACUUCGGGAUUGUGCCUGUGGAGGCCAUGUACACCCGCUGUCCCGUCAUUGCUGUUAGCUCUGGUGGGCCGCUAGAGUCAGUGGCACAUGAGGAAACUGGCUUCUUGUGUGACCCCACACCAGAAAGUUUCUCAGAAGCAAUGGGACGCUUUUUGACAGAUGCGGGACUGAAGCAGCGCAUGGGCCAGGCCGGCCGUGACAGAGUCAUAGAUCGCUUCUCUUUGCAAGCGUUUACUGACCAGCUCCACAGGCAUAUCCUCAGCCUGACCGAUUGAUGCUAUGACAUCAUCCAGACCCAAUGACUCCAGCACCCUCAGCAUUCCACUGUGCAGGUCACCAUGGAGAGACCAAUGAAAGAAUGUGCUCGCUAAUUAGAGAAAAGAGCAGCGAACGAAUGGGUAGUUUUAACCUGUCUAGGACUCGGCUGGUGGGACAAUGCGGACCUCAGCUUGGAUAGGGCCAGAAUGUGGAGCACCCGUCUGACUGAGAGGUUAAUGAAUUACUGUUUGCUGGCUACAUUGAUCGUGCGUGUCAUCUCAGGGGCCUGAAGAGUGUGAGUCUUGCAGAAAUCAUUAAGACUUCCCUGAGGCAUAGAAGGCCCUGUUUGUCCUUCACUGCUGGUACCAUCGUAGACAAUGGGUACUGAUGUUGGACGUUUAGUUCUGGAUCACAAAAGCCACUUCAGAUCAUCCAAAAGGUAUCUCCAUCACUCCAAAGAACACAGUUCCACUGCUCCACAGCCCAAUGCUGGUGAGCUUUAUACCCCUCUAGAUGACACUUGGCAUUGAGCAUGGUGACCUUAAAUUCAUGUGAGGCUGCUCCAGAGUGUCCACCUCCAAUGGUAAAGCUUUUCUCUUGGAAUUAUACAAGCUUUGUGUGUACAAUUAAGCGCUUGUGUCAGCAGUGGGUGCACCGUAAUGUAGCUGAUUUCACUAACUAAAAGAGGUAAAAUCCUUUUGGACAUGUAGUGUAGGUCAUUUGUAAAAGAAUACAUUUUCAACCGUUUUCAUGUUUAUUGUCAAAUCACUUCCUUAUUCAAGAAAAUACUGCUUGCAGUACUGUUGUGAAGGCGACUGGCCAUAACGUGCAACCCACGGGUUAAUAUCACACACAUAGGCUUUAUUACAUACGACUUAAACAGCCUCAUCUUUAAUCCCAUAAUGGAGACGGUCAGAUAUAUCGUUGCAGUGGCCAGUGCAUCUGUUUUGUUGGCAGUUCCAGAGCACCGUUUGCUCAUUAACACGAGGCACAUUAAAUAUGAAGAGCUUAUUUUUACCUGAGCACUGAUUGGGUCUUAAUCAUGCAUUAUAAGAAAGGGCUUAUGAGGCCUGCAAAGGUGUAAAUCAAGCAGGAGCGUUAACCAGGUCAGACUGCAUAACCUUCAGAGCAAGCAGAGGUUACAGAGCACUGCUGCACUUUUUCUUUUGCCACUGUUAGCCAGCCAUAUAGGAAAUGGUUGCGAUGUACUAGGUUGUUUUGAAUGAAAAAUGAAAUCCUAGAAGGUUUAACAUUUAUUUUUUGCAUGAAGCUAGCACAAGAUGUGAUCUGUUCCUGGUGGAUUUAGCGGUUUAUCUUUGUGUUUUGAGCAUGUGAUUUAACAUGCAGACAGCUGGUCUGCAAAACAAUAGUUUGGAGUCAGACAACUUGAUGCUGUGCAAAUCAAGCAUCUUUUUGUUGUUUUUUUUUUACAUUGUCACAUGCCCAUCAGGCUUAAAGUUAGACUGUGUAAGUUUUGUAACCUCUCUUGUGGAAAUGUGUAAUUGCAUGUAAAGUGAGGAAGAACAUUUUGUAAAGUCUUCGGGCCCUUUCCCUAAGCAGAUAAAUCCGAUAGUUGUGAGCACUUUGAAAGAGUUGUGCCUUCUUUCUGAGCCCCUGCAUUUGCCGUUAAUACAUAAAGGCGUUUGAUGUGGACUGAAAAAUGUCUGCGAAACCUAACCUGACACCUCUGACUUUUAAAUUAUUCGGACUUGCAGCGAUGCACAGACACCACAUUUUAGCUUUCUUUUUUUCUGAAUCAGUAAUGCUACUUAUUUAAAUUUUAACAAAAAAUCUUACAUAGUGCAGCUUUAACAUACAAGUAAUUGGAUAGUAAAAUGCAGUGGUGAACAGUGGCUAUUACAGUUAGGCCUUCUUCAGUCUACAUACAUAAUUAAAGCUAUACCAAAUUUACUUUCAUUAGGAAAUCCAGAGUAGUUAGGAAGCUUUGAGAACUGGACAUGAAAUUUUAUAACCUAGGGUCAUGUCAUAUGGUGCUUGGUCCCUAUAAUAGAUAGUUAAGGCUAAUUUUAGUUUUGCUCGACAAUCAUAAAGAUUACACUUAAUCAUAAGCUAUACAAACAAAACAUCACCAACUAAUUACCUACAUACAUACUUUGUAUGGCACAAUAAUGCUGAGGAAUAUGCAAAUGAAAGAAAGGAGCUCCAGUUGAUAAUAUCCAUCCAUCCAUCAUCUAAACCGCUUAUCCUUCUGGGUCGCGGUGGGGUGAUAAUAUAAUAAAAUGAAAAAUAAAAAUCUUGUAGAAAGUAAAAGUAAAAUGGCCACACUUCUCUGGAAGAAGAGUGCCAGUGCACAAAUAUUUUGGCUUCCAACCAAAUGAACAUGGAGAUCUACUGAAUUUUAACAGUGUUAUAUGCCACCUGGGCAGAAUAUAGUUAUAAUUAUAAAUUAUUAAGUAAUAUCAAAAGCUAGCCCAGUUGGGUAAUAUAUAUUAUAUUACCAUAGUAGAUUUGGAACAAAACUUGGCAGGAGAUUAAGCUUCUCAAAUACUGGGUGAUCUUUAUUGACUUUUAAUGUUAUUCCUCAAUGUAACUUGUAUACAUUGAAACGAAAUGAGGUGCUUCGCAUCUAAAUAUACACUGGACUGAAUACACAGAACAGUAAUUAAACGACAAUAAAUGAACAGAACAAAAAUAUAUGUGACAAAUACACAUGAUGCAACUAGACAGGACAGCAAAACUAUAUAGCCCAUAGCAGCAUUCAAAGAUUGAGAUUUUAAAAAUUUAAAGUGCAGGUGUGCAGUGAUGGCAGUGAUGCAAUCAGACAACCUCAGAGUGCUCAGUAGUCUGACUGCCUCAGCGAAGAAGCUAUUGCAGAGUCUGGAGGAGGUGGAAGCAGCGCUCGGCAUAGAGUUUUUCAGGGGCAUAGAGAUGAUCACUCAUGACUGAGACAGUGAACAGUAUUUUUUUUUGUAUUUCUUCAGGAAACAGACAUUAUUUUAUGACAGCACAUAGCUGUGCCAUCUCCAUAGACAAACACUGGUAGAAGAAUGGGUCGUACUGAAGAGUUCAGGGACUUUAAAUGCGACACUUUCAUAGGAUGCCACCUUUGCACAAGUCAGUUCAUGAAAUUUCUGCCCUGCUAGAUCUACCCCAGUCAACUGUAAGUGCUAUUAUUGUGAAAUGGAAUUGUGUAGGACAGGGGUUUGGAACUGAGGGCAGCACAUUUUGUUGGUUUCAUUUACCAACUAAACCUGGUAAUCAGAUAAUAACUUGAAUCUGAUGUGCUUGAGUAGGAAAAUUGUAUUGAACAGUGCAGGAAACCUGGCAACUCAGAACUGGAGUUCCCCAUCCUAGGUUUAGAAUAUGCCAUCAUUGACAAAAACAGAUUGUAGAUAUCACAAGCCCUGGUUCCUAUCACCACCACUGUAAAUAAAUCUGACUCUGAAUCUCUACAAUGAAGCUUUUCACAUCAGUCCACUCCGAAUGACUUUGUUCACUUCUCAAACUGUUGAAUUGUGCAGAAAGGGCAGUGGGCUCCCAGAACCAGGGUUAAGAAACAUUAACUUUUCACCAAUGUGAACCUACAAGGUAGCAAUUUCUAAUAAAGUGGCUGGUGAGUGGCACAAUACAGGGGGGCAUUUAAUGUCUAUUUACAUACAACCCUGCUGUGUAAAUGUUGGUGACAUCAAAUUCAAAAUGGACAUACAUAUUUUUCAAAAAACAGUCCCAGUGCACAAAGCAAGGUCCAGAAAGGCAUAGUUGGGUGAGUGUGGUGUGGCCUGGACUGGCCCACACAGAGCCCUGACUUCAACCCCAUCGACCACCUUUGGGAUGAACUAUUCAGAACCAUCAGCCAACUGUGUU